rnacentral:rRNA from 1 species
UACGUAGGGACCAAGCGUUGUCCGGAAUCAUUGGGCGUAAAGAGCGUGUAGGCGGCUUGUUAAGUCUUGCGUGAAAUCUCGGGGCUUAACCCUGGGCCUGCAGUGGAUACGGGCAGACUAGAGGUAGGUAGGGGAGAAUGGAAUUCCCGGUGUAGCGGUGAAAUGAGCAGAUAUCGGGAGGAACACCGGUGGCGAAGGCGGUUCUCUGGGCCUUACCUGACACUGAGGAGCGAAAGCGUGGGGAGCGAACAGG